rnacentral:lncRNA from 1 species
ACGUCAGCAGCCACGUCAGCAGCCCCGUCAGCAGCCCCGGCCAACUAGGACACGCCGCGUGGCAAGGAACGCUGACAUGGGACGGGCCACGUGGGCGAUCCGCGUGCGCGCGAUCAGACGGUCCAGAUCCGUUCCCGCACGCACAGAUGCCCAAGAUCAAAUGAGCACACGGACGACCCAGAUCUCACGCGUACGGACGGCCCAGAUUCAAUCAGGCACAGAC